UAUCACGUUGAAACACCGGUUUACCUGCGAUCGCUGAAGUUAAACAACGUUGUACCUGGUCAGUACCUGGAUGGGUGACCGUUUAAGAAUACCAGGUGCU